rnacentral:lncRNA from 1 species
CUCCUGUGUUCCAAUGGCACGUUGUGUAGUUUAUCCAAGUUUAUAAUUUUAAAAGGCUAAUUGAUCAUUACAAAACCCUUUUGCAAUUAUGUUAGCACAGCUGAAAACUGUUGUUCUGAUUAAAGAGGCAAUAAAACUGGCCUUCUUUAGACUAGUUGAGUAUGUGGAGCAUCACGACCAGUGAUGGUGAUGGUACUAGAGCCUCCACAACCAGUGAAGGUUUCUCAGAGCUUCCGGUCAUAACUUGUAGACUUGUUUACGUGCUGCUGUGCGUUUGUUGCUAACCUUGCUUUGCUACCUGCCAACUUCACGGUUUUUACUUUUUAAUUACCUUUUAUAUUUUUUGUUUUACACUCACUCAACUUUUUUCAUUCAACUUUUUCACUCUGGAGGUUUUAUCUGGAAGUGGUUCGUCAGGCCCUCCACCAGCCGAAGCUAAGUAGUAACAUUAACAUGAUGCCUUCUAAUUGCAGUCGCUGUACUCAUAAUAUACAGGAGAACGAUCGCCUUACGGCGAGGAUAGCUGUGCUGCAAGCCCAGCUUCAGACGCAAUCGUUAGGCAAGGGUAAUUUAAGUGUAGGAAAGGAUGAAACAGUGUCUGUGCCACCAGUAAGUACAGAUAGUAGCAUAAAUCCCCUCGCACAGUCCCCGCAGCCGGACAACUUUCUCAUGGCUUCUGGAAGGAAAUGCUGUGACAAAUUGACAAAUUGAAAGCCCUAGUCAUUGGCGACUCCAUUACCCACAGUAUUAGACUUAAAACAAAUCAUCCUGCGAUCAUACACUGUUUACCAGGGGGCAGGGCUACCGACUUUAAGGCUAAUAUGAAGAUGGUGCUGGCUAAAGCUAAAACUGGCGAGUGUAGAAAGUAUAGGGAUAUUGUUAUCCACGUCGGCACCAAUGAUGUUAGGAUGAAACAGUCAGAGGUCACCAAGUGCAACAUAGCUUCAGCGUGUAAAUCAGCUAAAAAGAUGUGUCGGCAUCGAGUAAUUGUCUCUAGCCCCCUCCCAGUUAGGGGGAGUGAUGAGCUCUACAGCAGAGUCUCACAACUCAAUCGCUGGUUGAAAACUGUUUUCUGCCCCUCCCAAAAGACAGAAUUUCUAGAUAAUUGGCCCUCUUUCUGGGACUCACACACAAACAGGAUCAAGCCUGGCUUGUUGAGGAGUGACAGAUUCCGUCCUAGCUGGAGGAGUGCUCUCAUCUUAUCUAUGAACAUAGACCAUGCUCUAACUCCCCUAGCUCUACAAUGAGAUAGGGUGCAGGCCAGGCAGCAGGCUGUUAGCCAGCCUGCCGGCUUACUGGAGUCUGCCACUAGCAGAGUCAGUGUAGUCAGCUCAGCUAUCCCCAUUGAGACCGUGUCUGUGCCUCAACCUAUUUUGGGAAAAACUCAACAUGGCGGUGUUCGCCUUAGCAAUCUCACUAGAAUAAAGACCUCCUCCAUUCCUGCCAUUAUUGAAAGAGAUUGUGAUACCUCACAUCUCAAAAUAGGGCUACUUAAUGUUAGAUCCCUCACUUCUAAGGCAGUUAUAGAUAAUGAACUAAUCACUGAUCGUAAUCUUGAUGUGAUUGGCCUGACUGAAACAUGGCUUAAGCCUGAUGAAUUUACUGUGUUAAAUGAGGCCUCACCUCCUGGUUACACUAGUGACCAUAUCCCCCACGCAUCCCGCAAAGGCGGAGAUGCUGCUAACAUUUACGAUAGCAAAUUUCAAUUUACAUAAAACUCUGAUGUUUUCGUCUUUUGAGCUUCUAGUCAUGAAAUCUAUGCAGCCUACUCAAUCACUUCUUAUAGCUACUGUUCACAGGCCUCCUGGGCCAUAUACAGUGUUCAUCACUGAGUUCACUGAAUUCCUAUCGGACCUUGUAGUCAUGGCAGAUAAUAUUCAAAUUUUUGGUGACUUUAAUAUUCACAUGGAAAAGUCCGCAGACCCACUCCAAAAGGCUUUCGGAGCCAUAAUCGACUCAGUGGCUUUUGUGCAACAUGUCUCUGGACCCACUCACUGCCACAGUCAUUCUCUGGACCUAGUUUUGUCCCGUGGAAUAAAUGUUGUGGAUCUUAAUGUUUUUCCUCAUAAUCCUGGACUAUCGGAUCACCAUUUUAUUAUGUUUGCAAUCGCAACAAAUAAUCUGCUCAGACCCCAACCAAGGAUCAUCAAAAGUCGUGCUAUAAAUUCUCAGACAACCCAAAGAUUCCUAGAUGCCCUUCCAGACUCCCUCCGCCUACCUAAGGAAGUCAGAGUACAAAAUCAGUUAAUAACCUAACUGAGGAACUCAAUUUAACCUUGCGCAAUAGCCUAGAUGCAGUCGCACCCCUAAAAACAAAAAAUAUUUGUCAUAAAAAAUGAGCUCCCUGGUAUACAGAAAAUACACAAGCUCUGAAGCAAGCUUCCAGAAAAUUGGAACGGAUAUGGCGUUACACCAAACUGGAAGUCUUCCGACUAGCUUGGAAAGACAGUACCGUGCAGUAUCGAAGAGCCCCACUGCUGCUCGAUCAUCCUAUUUUUCCAACUUAAUUGAGGAAAAUAAGAACAAUCCAAAAUGUCUUUUUGAUACUGUCGCAAAGCUAACUAAAAAGCAGCAUUCCCCAAGAGAGGAUGGCGUUCACUUCAGCAGUGAUAAAUUCAUGAACUUCUUUGAGAAAAAGAUCAUGAUCAUUAGAAAGCAAAUUACGGACUCCUCUUUAAAUCUGCGUAUUCCUCCAAAGCUCAGUUGUCCUGAGUCUGCACAACUCUGCCAGGACCUAGGAUCAAGGGAGAGACUCAAGUUUUUUAAUACUAUAUCUCUUGACACAUUGACACAAGGUUCCGUUUUAGGACCACUAUUGUUUUCCCUAUAUAUUUUACCUCUUGGUGAUGUCAUUCGGUAACAUAAUGUUAACUUUCACUGCUAUGCGGAUGACACACAGCUGUACUGUCACAGGGGUUGUUGAGUGGAGACCAAGACGCAGCGUGUAUAGUGCUCAUUCUGUUUCUUUAAUGAAUACACUUAAACAACAAAACAACCAACAACAAACCCGUCACAUACUCUAGACUAAACGGAAACAACUACCCACAAACCCCAAAGGAAAACAGGCUGCCUAAGUAUGGCUUCCAAUCAGAGACAACGAUAGACAGCUGCCUCUGAUUGGAAACCAUACCUGGCCACAACAUAGAAAAUGACAACAUAGAAUGGAACUCUAGACAACCCACAUAGAAAACAGAAAACCCAAAACACAUAGACAAAACACCCCCCUGUCACGCCCUGACCAAUCUACUAAGGAAAAACCUCAUACCAGGGUCAGGACGUGACAGUACCCCCCCCCAAACCAAAAAACCCAACAACAACAACCCCAAACACAAAGGGAGGGCAGGGAGGGUGACAACAGUCUAUGGCGGCUCAUGUGCUCCACCCAGAACCUUCCUCUUCUCCCGAUCCUCCAGAAACAGAUGUGGCUCUGGCUCAGGGCGUAACCUCCAUUCCGCCCGCAGAUCCCUCCGCUUCUGUAACAUAGGCCUGUGGAUCAUUAUUGGAGGAAUCGGACUGUAGAUCCUUACCGGAAUCACUGUGCUGUAGACCCCUGCUGGAGGUUCCGACCUCCAAGCCGCCGCUGGAGGAUCUAGGCUGCAGGCCGCCGCUGAAGGCUCUGAACUGAGAAUUGUCGCUGGAGGCUCUGGACAGAACAGUGUCGCCGGAGGCUCCGGACUAGGAGGCGUCAUAAUCGGUUCCGGACUAAUGACCGUUGCUGCUGACUCCAUGCCAUGGAUCAUUUCUAUAGGUUCCGCGCCAAGGAUCAUCACUGGAGGCUUCUUACCUUGGAUUCUCACUACAGGUGCCGGGCCAUGGAUUAUUCCGACAGGCAUCGUGCCAUGGUUUAUCCUUACAAGCUCCAGACCAUUUAGAAUCCCUCCAGGCUUCUUGCCAAGGAUUCUUUCCUCAGGUUCCAGGCCAUGGAUUACCUCUUCAGGCUUCGUGCCAUGGAAUGUCCCUACAGGCUCUGGGCCAUGGAUCAUCACUAGAGGCUUAGUGCCAUGGAUCAUCCUUACAGGCGUCGGACCAUCGAUUAUCACUGGAGGCUUUUUACGUGGAGUAGGAAUCGAUCUCACCGGACUGGGGAGACGCAAUAAGGGCAGAGUGCUCACAGCAGGCACUGGCCAUACUGGGUUACGGGUGCGCACUGGAGGGAGAGUGCGCGGAGCAGGCACCGGACGUACUGGGCCAUGGAGGUUUACUGGAGGUCUGGCGCUUACGGCUAGCACAACCCUUCCUGGCUCAAUGCUGACUCUAGCCCGGCAAGGGCAGAGCGCUGGCACAGGACGAACUGGGCUGUGCUGGGGAAUGAGGGGUACCGUGCGUGGAGCAGGCGUAGGAUAUACUGGGCCAUGGAGGCUCACUGGAGGUCUGGCGCUUACGGCUAGCACAACCCGUCCUGUCUCGAUGCUGACUCUAGCCCGGCAAGGGCGGAGCGCUGGCACAGGACGAACUGGGCUGUGCUGGGGAAUGCGGGGUACCGUGCGUGGAGCAGGCGUAGGAUAUCCUGGGCCGAAGAGCCGCACUGGAGGCCAGAUACGUUGAGCCGGCGCACUUUUCCCUGGCUGCCGGCCAACUCUCGCACGGCAACGUUGAGGAGCUUGUAUUGACCGCACCGUACUGUGAGUGCGUAUGGGUGACAUAGUGCGGAUCACUCCAUACUGCAUUGCUCGCCCCUCUGCGCGCCUGCUCCGCCGUGCCCUUUCCGCCAGUACCUCUCUCCGGAAUCUAGCGUCAUGCUCCGCGCUUGACUCCCUGACUGGCUCUGGUUUACUCCAUGGCUCACUCCGAAAUGCCCGGGAAGUUAGAUCAGGGCUCCCCCUGACCUCGCCAAACUCCCCUUAUGCCCCCCCCAAACCUUUUUUUGGGGCUGCCUCUUCGCCUCCCCUAUUGGAGGAUACAGCGCCUCAUAAUACCGUCGCUCCCUCUUGGCUUCUUCCAAUUCCUCCUUCGGGCGACGAUACUCCCCAGCCUGGCUCCAGGGUCCCUUCCCAUCCAGGAUUUCUUCCCACGUCCACGACUCCACGUACCUCCUCUCACGCUGCUUGGUCCUUUUACGGUGGGUAGUUCUGUCACAGGGGUCGUUGAAUGGAGACCAAGACGCAGCGUGUAUAUCGCUCAUUCUGUUUCUUUAAUGAAUACACUUAAACAACAAAAUACCAAAACGACCAACAACAGUCCCGUCAGGUACUCUAGACUAAACGGAAACAACUACCCACAAACCCCAAAGGAAAACAAGCUGUCUAAGUAUGGCUUCCAAUCAGAGACAAUGAUAGACAGCUGCCUCUGAUUGGAAACCAUACCUGGCCACAACAUAGAAAAUGACAACAUAGAAUGAAACUCUAGACAACCCACAUAGAAAAAAAAAAACCCAAAACACAUAGACAAAACACCCCCCUGUCACGCCCUGACCAAUCUACUAGGGAAAAAUGACCUCAUACCAGGGUCAGGAUGUGUUAUGUACAUUUCAAUGAAACAUGGUGAAGCCCCAAAAUUGCCCUCCACCUGUGUUUCAGACAUAAGGAAGUGGAUGGCUGCAAAUGUUCUACUUUUAAUCUCGGACAAAACAGACAAUGAUUGUUCUAGUUCCCAAGAAACAAAGAGAUCUUCUUUGGAAUCUGACAAUUAACCCUGAUGGUUGUACAGUCAUCUCAAAUAAAACUGUGAGGGGCCUCUGCGUUACUCUGGACCCUGAUCUCUCUUUUGACGAACAUAUCAAGACUGUUUCAAGGACAGCUUUUUUCCAUCUACGUAACAUUGCAAAAAUCAGAAACUUUCUGUCCAAAAAUUAUGCAGAAAAAUUACUUCUAGGUUGGACUACUGCAAUGCUUUACUUUCCGGCUACUUGGAUAAAGCACUAAAUAAACUUCAGUUAGUGCUAAACACAGCUGCUAGAAUCUUGACUAGAACCAAAAAAUGUGAUCAUAUUACUCCAGUGUUAGCCUCUCUACACUGACUUCCUGUGAAGGCAAGGGCUGAUUUCAAGGUUUUACUGCUAACCUACAAAGCAUUACAUGGGCUUGCUCCUACCUAUCUUUCCGAUUUGGUCCUGCCGUACAUACCUACACGUACGCUACGGUCACAAGACGCAGGCCUCCUUACUGUCCCUAGAAUUUCUAAGCAAACAGCUGGAGUCAGGGCUUUUUAAUAUAGAGCUCCAUUUUUAUGGAAUGGUCUGCCUACCCACGUGAGAGACGCAGACUCGGUCUCAGCCUUUAAGUCUUUAUUGAAGACUCAUCUCUUCAGUAGGUCCUAUGAUUGAGUGUAGUCUGGUCCAGGAGUGUGAAGGUGAACGGACAGGCACUGGAGCAACAAACCGCCCUUGCUGUCUCUGCCUGGCCAGUUCCCAUCUCUCCACUGGGAUUCUCUGCCUCUAACCCUUUUACAGGGGCUGAGUCACUGGCUUACUGGUGCUCUUCCAUGCCAUCCCUAGGAGGGGUGCGUCACUUGAGUGGGUUGAGUCACUGACGUGAUCUUCCUGUCCAGGUUGGCGCCCCCCCUGGGUUGUGCCGUGGCGGAGAUCUUUGUGGGCUAUACUCUGCCUUGUCUCAGGAUGGUAAGUUGGUGUUUGAAGAUAUCCCUCUAGUGGUGUGGGAGAUGUGCUUUGGCAAAAUGGGUGGGGAUAUAUCCUGCCUGUUUGGCCACGUCGGACAUGGCCAUAGUGUUUCCCGACCCCUCCUGUCUCAGCCUCCAGUAUUUAUGCCGCGGUAGUUUAUGUGUCGGGGGGCUUUGGUCAGUCUGUUAUAUCUGGAGUAUUUCUCCUGUCUUAUCCAGUGUCCUGUGUGAAUUUAAGUAUGCUCUCUCUAAUUCUCUCUCUCCCUUUUUCUCUCUUUCUUUCUGUCUUUCGCUCUUUCUUUUUCUCUCGGAGGACCUGAGCCCUAGGACCAUGCCUCAGGACUACCUGACCUGAUGGCUCCUUGCUGUUCCCAGUCCACCUGGCCGUGCUGCUGCUCCAGUUCCAACUGUUCUUUCUGCGGCUAUGGAACCCUGACCUGUUCACCGGACAUGCUACCUGUUCACCGGACAUGCUACCUGUCCCAGACCUUCUGUUUUCAACUCCCUAGAGACAGCAGGAGUGGUAGAGAUACUCUGAAUGACCGGCUAUGAAAAGCCAACUGACAUUUACUCCUGAGGUGCUGACCUUUUGCACCCUCGACAACCACUGUGAUUAUUAUUAUUUGACCCUGCUGGUCAUCUAUGAACAUUUGAACAUCUUGGCCAUGUUCUGUUAUAAUCUCCACCCGGCACAGCCAGAAGAGGACUGGCCACCCCUCAUAGUCUGGUUCCUCUCUAGGUUUCUUCCUAGGUUUUGGCCUUUCUAGGGAGUUUUUCCUAGCCACUGUGCUUCUACACCUGCAUUGCUUGCUGUUUGGGGUUUUAGGCUGGGUUUCUGUACAGCACUUUGAGAUAUCAGCUGAUGUAAGAAGGGCUAUAUAAAUACAUUUGAUUUGAUUUGAAGUACUGAACGGAAGUCCCAUAAGGUCUAGUAGUGACCCGGAAGGGAGAUAAAUGUGUGUGUGUGUGUGUGUGUGAUUAGUGGGCCUAAGGGAACUGUAGACAUGUGUGUGUGUGACCCGACCUGAAGAGGCUUGGAAGCAACAGCGAGUAACCUUCAAGGUCCCCCUAAUCUCGGGGGAAAGGAACAGGCAGCACAGGAUAGGGAUUAACAGCGGUGGGAAGUCACCUACUGUUCGUGUGUAUGGGUGUGCGUAGGAUAUCUACUGUUUGUGUGGAGGUAUGUGCGUAAGCAGGGAGGGAGCAUAAAAUGAACUUCUUUGUGUAAUUGUACUUCAGAACGUUCACUGAAUAAACUGUACAGACCUUUUGCAGAAAGCUGAGUCCUUGCCUAAUUAUUCUUUACCCAGUGUCUUACAAACCUUGGGAAUUAGUCAAGGCUUAUUGAUUGUUAAUUAUUAUCAUUGGGAUAGGAAAAUUCCCAUGACAGCUUGGUCCUUCG